UUAAUUUUUUUACAAAAACAAAUAAGAGUUCAAAAUAAAAAUUUUAAUUUAUGAAAAGAGAAGAAGUAGGAAAAGUAUUUUUAAUUCAACAUUUGCAGAGUAUAUUAGGAGAAGAAGUGUUGACAAUUUAUUUUGAAAUAGAUAGUAUUACGAAAAGAAGUAAUAAGAGUAAUAAAAUUCUUUUAUUCAACAUUACGAAUUGAAUUAUGAGAAGAAGUGGUUGUAAUUAAUUUAAAACAUAUUGCAUCACGAGAAGAAUAUGAAAAAUAUUGCUAUACUUAAGUAUCAAGAUUAAAAUACUGAUGUACCGUUAAACUGAAGGUGGUAAUAAAGUUUACAAAAUUUGCUCUUGCUGAAUUUUUCAAUGAAAAAACAAUAUGUGUGCCAUAAAUGUAAUCUGUGUUUAAUGGGGUAUCUAUGAAAGUUUGGUGUAUUGGCCAAAUCACUUGCAAGCAUCUUGCUAUUAAACUGCCAUAUGUAAAGUCACGCUUUUAAAAGUAACUGAAAGCAGCUGAAAAUAAGAAUUUUUUGGUAAUUGUCUUAUUUACAAUAUUGUUUUUGUUUUAUUUACAGUAUUGUCUUUGUUUUUUAUCUAAACAGCUAUGUUUGACUCAAAUAUAGUAAAUGUUGAUUGUUUAUUAUGGUUUCAUCUCUUCUUUAUACUUUUUUUUUGACAGUUAUGAGACUGCUUUAGAACAGAAUUAUCUGUGCCUCCAGCUUAAAAGGAUGCAGGUUACAAAAAAAGUGACACUAAUGAGAUUGCCUCUCAGUUUCUCAAAGAUUGAAGAAAUCUUUAGUGUUUUAGGGUUAAGUGAUUCCAUCAGAGCUUUGCUUGACUAUCUCUUUCGAUUUAUUGAAUUUAUUUGCCGAUUAUAGAUGAAAAAAGAUCUUCUAAACCUAGAAGAAAAAUUAUGGAACAAAGACACCUUAUGAAUCAAUAGUAUAUAUCAGUGAAUUGAUAUUAGUUAAUAAUUUUUGGAAACAGUACCAUGAACUAUUAAAGUUUCAUAAUUUUUAAAAUAUAUGAUACAUUUAUAUGAAACAUACAAACAAAUGAUCCAAUAUGAUACUUGAUUGACUAUAAUUAUGUUGUAUAUCAGAAUGUUUUAUAUAAAUGCUUAUUACAUUUUAUUGUGAUUUUUAUCUUUUAUGCCCAGUUAGCGUUGUAUUUUGUGUAGCAAUGACUACUAAUCUCAGAUAUCUAUGACAUCUGUAGGAUGUAUUCACCGCUACAGAUGUCAUAAUCUAUUUAUAAGCAAUUGCUUUUACUCUUCCAUAAUGUCAUAUUUUAAUAAGAAUCACAUUAUGGAAAACCGUCUAAUACAUACACAUGAGGAACCAUUAUACUUUUAGUACAAUCAAUUAUAUUACAUUUGUUUUCUUAUUUUAGAUGAACUUUCUUACUUAGGUUGGAGGAGAUAAGAAACAACUUACAGCGGCAAUCUUAAUACAGCUAAUGGCCAAAGAAAUAUGUUUUUCAUACUCAGUGUAUGGAAUGAAACAAAAACGUCCUGCAAGGUCGUUAUAGAGUUGCGUUUAGUCGUUUAUCGUUGUAUUCGUUCAUUUCGAAAUCGUUACUGACAAAAGUAUUAAA